GAGGAUGAAGAUUAUCUAAUGUUGGAGGGUUAUGAGGAAGACGUUGUCCAAGCGGACAGAUUGAGUGACUCUGCUGAGGAUGAAGACCAAUCCGUGGAUGAAAGCGUUCUGUAUGAAGGCGCGGUUUCAGAAUGAUUCCUGGGUUUUCUGGGAGUUUAAUCAGAUCCACUGAAACUGAAAGCAUUUGGUUGCCUUCACUUAUCCGUUGCAUGUUAUUCUGUUCAGACAAAGGUUUAUUCAAAACGAAACAAUAGACAAGCGCUCAUGGGUUGACAUGACUGUGACCAAUCAGAAGCAAAGACAGCCAACAAUGUGUCUACUGUCAGAUUCAUGUCAAAUAAUAGUGUGUUUGUACCUACUUAACUGUAUUUUGGAGACAAAUUCCCUGCUGAAAAAAACAAUAGAAACCAUCACAUAAAUGUUUAAUGGUUUCCACUACAAAUA